ensembl:miRNA mdo-mir-7339 mdo-mir-7339
AGUUCACAUCUUUCUCCACAGCCUAGAGAUCUAUCCCUGCAGAGGUGUAGGGGAAGAUAUGAAUUGA